rnacentral:rRNA from 1 species
UGGGGAAUUUUGGACAAUGGGCGAAAGCCUGAUCCAGCAAUGCCGCGUGUGUGAAGAAGGCCUUCGGGUUGUAAAGCACUUUUGUCCGGAAAGAAAUCCUUGGCUCUAAUACAGUCGGGGGAUGACGGUACCGGAAGAAUAAGCACCGGCUAACUACGUGCCAGCAGCCGCGGUAAUACGUAGGGUGCAAGCGUUAAUCGGAAUUACUGGGCGUAAAGCGUGCGCAGGCGGUUUGCUAAGACCGAUGUGAAAUCCCCGGGCUCAACCUGGGAACUGCAUUGGUGACUGGCAGGCUAGAGUAUGGCAGAGGGGGGUAGAAUUCCACGUGUAGCAGUGAAAUGCGUAGAGAUGUGGAGGAAUACCGAUGGCGAAGGCAGCCCCCUGGGCCAAUACUGACGCUCAUGCACGAAAGGCGUGGGGAGCAAACAGGAUUAGAUACCCUGGUAGUCCCACGCCCUAAACGAUGUCAACUAGUUGUUGGGGAUUCAUUUCCUUAGUAACGUAGCUAACGCGUGAAGUUGACCGCCUGGGGAGUACGGUCGCAAGAUUAAACUCAAAGGAAUUGACGGGGUCAUAGCUGUUUCCU